UCUGGAAUUGUUCCCCCUGAGCUUGGAAAUUUGCUUAACUUGGAGUAUCUAGAUCUGGAAGGGUUGAAGAAGAGAUUGAAAUGCUUCAGCUCAAGCUGAAGCAUAUUGAAGAAGGUAUAGCUUUCAGUGGAAGGAGGGCAAAGACAGCUAGAUCUCUAGGGAAAAAGGUUCAAAUAACUGUCGAACAGGAAAUUUCCAGGUGGAUGUUGCAUCUUUUCUUUUUCUGCUUUCAUACUUGUUAUAUAUUCCAAAGCGCUUGCAUGAUUUUGAUACUCUUAUCAUUGCGGAAUGCUUGAGAAUUGACCUGGGCUUGCUUGCAGCAAAACAAAUAUAGUUCUGCCGAUGAACAUUACAAGUAAGUUUGUCCAUUCUUAGAACUUGGCUCAUUGGGCUUCUCUGAUAAGAAUCUAGGCAUAAGCCCAACUUAUGCAGUUAAGCACAGAAACAAAGUAGUAUUUAAGAACUAUACCUUUAAUCUCAGCUUGGCUAAGAAGUGAAGGGUGAAACUGACUUCAUAAUUAUAUAAUUGCUCAUAUAAUUUGAUAAUUAUAUGACUAAUGUAGCUAUAAGUCAUAAAAAAAAUAUGCAUUUAGUAAAUAUAAUUUUAGUGCUUUUGAGACCAACAUUUGAAUUUUUUUUGUUUAAAAUGAAAUCUAAAAAAAUCAGGGUAAUUUCUGGCCAAAUGUCUUGUUUAACUUGUAAAUGAGUAGGGAAAAAUCCUACUCAUUUUUUAUUAAAUUUUUUUCAUCAGUAAAAAUCCUUGUCAUAAAGAUUUCUUAUAGGGCAGGGUCUUGCUGGUAUACUUCCACCAGCUCUAGUGAAGCUACCCAAACUAAACACCAUUGAUCUCAAUGCUAACUACCUUAGUGGUAACAUACCACAUGAAUGGGGUUCUAUGCAGUUGGAAUAUCUCUAAGUGACUCCUGAGUUCAAGUCCAAGUUAGUCAAUAAUUGCUCAUUCUUACUGAUUUAAAUGAAUUCCAACCUACUUGGGAAAUAUUACCUCUCUUAAAAUAAUGUAUGCUCUUGUUGUAUCUUUCUUUCUCACCGAUCAUUUAGACAGUAAAAUUAUGUCAUUUUUUCUUUUAUUGGUAAUUUUUAAAUUCUCACUGAUCUUCUUAAUCACUUAACAAUUGAAUGGUCUGAACUUUCCUUUUGGUGACUGCAGCAUUCUUAGUGCUAACAAUCUCAUAGGAGAGUUGCCAGGCACUCCUACUAAUCUAACCAAAUUAAAACUAUUGUUAAGUUGGUGGUUUUGAUGCCAUAGGUGUUCUAACAGUAAUUUUAGUAUUUUCAUUGAAGGGCAAUCUUUGGGGUUUGUAUUUUGUUCAAUCUUCUUUCCAUUUUGGGCCAUGUGUAAUAGAAUUAGUAGUAACAACUUCACUGGAAGGAUGCCUAACUUUUUUCAAACUUGGAAACAACUAAAGAAAUUGUAUGGGCUUUUCUUCUACAUUGUUUUCCAAGUAUCUUUUAUCUUUUUAAAGUAAGGGAGUCAGAUCUGAUCUCAAUCCUUUUGAGCUGUGUUGUUAACAGAGAGAUCCAAGUCUUUAGGGGCCCAUUCCUCCUAGCAUUUCUGCCUUCUAAGUUAAUAGUUCUAUAGCUUCUUAACCUCUAAGAUACAUUCAUGUGGUUUUAAAUUUAUUGUAUUUAUUUUUGAAGUUCCUGACAGUAAUUGAUGAUGCAACUCUAUUUAGACAAAUUAGUGAUUUAUUUGGAGAAGGUUCAAAAUUUCUGUCCUUGCGUGGUGUGACAAACAUGAGCAAAUUGUUGUUGAGGAGCUGCAAUAUCAAUUUAUAGGCGCAAAGAGCUCAAGAAAACUCCUGAAAUCAUCUUCAAUUGAGCUACCUAGUAUGUGUUGGGAUUCUUGGAUGCAGAUCACUUUGACCCCUUGCAAUCUGUGGGGACAGCUCCAAGGUAAAGUAAGGGAGUCAGAUCUGAUCUCAAUCCUUUUGAGCUGUGUUGUUAACAGAGAGAUCCAAGUCUUUAGGGGCCCAUUCCUCCUAGCAUUUCUGCCUUCUAAGUUAAUAGUUCUAUAGCUUCUUAACCUCUAAGAUACAUUCAUGUGGUUUUAAAUUUAUUGUAUUUAUUUUUGAAGUUCCUGACAGUAAUUGAUGAUGCAACUCUAUUUAGACAAAUUAGUGAUUUAUUUGGAGAAGGUUCAAAAUUUCUGUCCUUGCGUGGUGUGACAAACAUGAGCAAAUUGUUGUUGAGGAGCUGCAAUAUCAAUUUAUAGGCGCAAAGAGCUCAAGAAAACUCCUGAAAUCAUCUUCAAUUGAGCUACCUAGUAUGUGUUGGGAUUCUUGGAUGCAGAUCACUUUGACCCCUUGCAAUCUGUGGGGACAGCUCCAAGGUGGAGGCCUCCUGAUGUGGGUUGGGUUUUCUAGGCAAAAGCAUUGGGUUAACGACCUGAAUGAGUCUUUUUGGUAAUGCCAUCUUAACAAAGUUAUGAAGAUUGAGACAAUCUUUAAACAUAUCAGCAGUGGGCCUCCUUCCGGUGAACAUUUCCAACACAAGGAUUCCAUAUAUGCACCCCCCUGAGUUGAUGCCUACCACCCAUGCCAUACUCCUUCCAAUGCCUGCUGGUGAUUCUCCCUAUGUCAGGGCUAAACAUGUUCAGAAAUCGAUUUCAGGUCCUCCAUAAGCACCAUGGGACAACAGAUGAACCUCCCAAACCCCAGACACAAUGACAACCCCUGCCAGCAGCCUACUACAAACAACAAAAGCAGGGAAGAAAAUCUGGCAGCACAUAACAGAGCUCAUUCACAGCUGAAUUCUCAUCUUAGAGCAGAGAGCUUGAUCACUGACUGAAAGUUUAGAAGGAAGAAAAGCCCCAGGCUCUAUCUCACAUCAUUCAAGAUAUUCUUCACGAUGUGACUCCGAAAUCAAGGGCCCUAAUGUGGUAUCUGAUUUCUAAACCUCCAAAUGUGAUAUACCGUGGCUGCACAACAAGUUUACCCACUCUUACUGCAAAUUUCUUGCUAACCAGUUGAGAACACCCCCAUUGCAUCAACUCCAACCAGUCACAGGCGACACUUCUGCCAAGACAGAACCAAUUCACCUGCUUCCAAACACUUUGAAAGAAAUGGUCCCUGCAUUCUGCCCUGCUCCUGCAGAAAAUACUAAGUAAACUACCAUGCCAACCCCAUGAAGUCAUCCUAUCUCAAGUAGAUAGCCUGUUUUUAAUAGCCAACUACAAGAUAAAGCCCUACUUAAGGAUGACAGCAGCAUCCAACACCAAUUUCCACCAAUCCACAUCACUACUCCUUACUCUAAUGGCUUCCCAAGCAUAAUGGCAGGAAAAAACACAACUUAUGGUAAGAGUCCACCUCACCUUAUCUUCGUCAUGCAACUAAUCCAGCAAGCAUCCUAACUAGACAGCUCUUACAGAAUCACUUCUAGGUGGUCUCUGUUGCCAUUCGCCAUUCAAAAUAACACUACACACUUUAGCCUCCUUGAAACUGCCAUCAACACCAAUCACGAUCAAUCGAGUCCAAAAAAAUCAACUAUCAUUAUAGGUCUAAUUCUAUGUGUAGACCAUAAUGUCCCCACCUCCCAUGAAAUUAUUCGUUACAUUUGGUCUAAUUUAGGUCCUGUUGGUGGCCGAUUAAAAUUGGACUGGCCUGCAUGGCAGAAAAUAUGUGUUGGCAUAGCAAGAGGUCUAGCUUUCUUACAUGAGGAAUCAACACUAAAAAUUGUUCAUAGAGACUUCAAAUCUACUAAUGUAUUACUUGUUGGUGACCUUAACCCUAAGAUCUCUAUUCUGGUUUGGCCAUGCUUUAUGAAGAGAACACCUGCAUUAGCACCGGAUUGGUGGAACCAUAUGAGCUACCUUCCUUCCUUAAAAAACUAAAUAUUCUUACAUAUAUAUGGAAAUAAGAUUAAUAAUUUAAAUUA